GGACAGGGGAAUCCCCAGCGCUGGGCUUCCCCACCCGGACCUCACCGCCCGGGACCAAGACUUUGUUUGACCCUGAGCUGGGGACAGAGCGCGUUUGUCCCGGGGUCUCUGGGCCGCCCAAGGCCACCUGCUCCUCGGGUCAGGAUGAAACCUAAGAGCAUGACGUUUGCGGGUGAAACACAGGCAGCGUUAAAAUGAAUGUUCACGGAAACAGACGCUGUCACAGUCCUGGGAUGAAACCUAGAAUCCCCAGUGUGUACCUCUGCGGUGAGAAUCACCCUCCGUCCAGUGUCCACACUGCACAGGCUGAGGAACCCAGGAGCCACGGUUACCAGAUCUUUGUCCCAGUGGGGAAGGGGUUCCACUGUGCUGAGACGAUGACCCAGGUCCACACAGACAAUCUGAGGACUAUGGAGAGAAGAUUCGUGUAAAACACAACCACCUGAGCCACAGACGGUCAUCUGGGAACAAACACUAGGACUCUGAGUGUAAGCACAAGGCUGUGAAGACUGGAUCCUGAGUGAUGAGCAAAGUCUCUAUUUACAGGGGAGAUUCCCCAGCACCAGGCUUGGCAGUGUGAGCGCCCCCUGCAGGUGGACACAGGAGCCUGGUGUCUGUGGUGUCUGUGUGGUGCUUGCAGGCCAGGGCCUCUGCUUUAGAGAAAAAUCAUCUCUCCCCUGCAUCCUAACCCGAGUGUUGUUGCCAUUGUGUUCCCAGAAGUGACUUUUCUUCUGGUAGAUCCAUGGUUGACUUCUGAAGAGAAGGAAGAGGAAGGGUUGGAGAGGAUGAAAUAUUUUGGCCUGCGGAUCCCUCCUGGUGUUUUUUGUUUGUUUGUUUGUUUGUUUUUCAGACGAGGUCUGUCUCCUCAGGUCUGGCUGUCCUGAUACUACGUAGACCAGGAUGGUCUUGAACUCAGAGAUCCACCUGCCUUUGCAUCCCAAAUCCUGGGAUUAAAGUCUUGUUUUGCCACAUCAA